rnacentral:lncRNA from 11 species
GUUUUUGUUUGACUGCUGUUAAAACAUAGCAAGAGAGAUAUAUAAAGAAAGGAAAGAAAGACAGACAGUUCUGCCGAAUAGCUGUCUCUCGCCACCUCUUACCUUCACGUUAGUCCGGAGUGCACAGUAACAUGCAAAAAACAUUGCAGUAAACAAGGAGCAUAUGGACCAGGACGCAGCUUCUCUGCUCUGCACAAACCAUAUACCACAUACACACACACGAUCCUCAGCAUGUGCCUACUAAAGAAGCAUUCAUUCUCUCUCUGUCAGUUUCAAAUGCAUUGAUCUCUGGGCUUUUUUGGCUCCCCCCGGACUAGAGGAAAGACAUGUCUUGAAGGCACUGAAUGAAAGCUACACGUCUCCUCUUGCCUGCCUAUACGGCGGCGCAUGAUGCUGCCCAGCUAUGGCAAUUAGGAGAGAUUUCGGCAGCUGCAACUUAAGGGACUUCAGUGGCUGUGCAUUCCAGCAUUUUUGAAAAUCAGUGUGGAAAUGAAACCGGGAGCGAGGGAGGGGGAGAGAGCCAAAGAGGAGGAGGAAGACAAUGACGGUGAAGAUGAGAAGGAGGAGGAGGUGAAGGAAGAAGAGUCGCUCCCCAAAGGGGGAGAAGAGGGCAGAAAGAACUGGAGAGAAACUGAAACUGGCAGAUUUAUCCUUCCAAGCAGAGGGCACUGAAAGGAACUGCAAUGGCACAAUGGGUUAAACCCUUGUGCUUGCUGGACUGCUGAUCUGAAGGUUGGGUUGAUGACCUGAAGGUUGCCGGUUUGAAUCCACGAGAUGGGGUGAGCUCCCAUCUGUCAGCUCUACCUUGAAAGAAGCCUCCCAGCAGGAUGGCAACACAUUUGGCGUCCCCUGGGCAACAUCUCUGUAGACAGCCAAUUCUCUCACACUAGAAGCGACUUGCAAUAUGAUCUCAAGUUGCUUCUGACACGAUAAAAAAUCAUUUACUACCAGUUAUUCAGUUUCCACUGUUGAAUUAACUGUCUACACUGUUGAAUUAAUGCAGUUUCACACUACUUUAACUACCAUGUCUCAAUGCAAUUGAACAGUAGAAGCUGUAGCGGUCAGUCACCAGCACAAAGUGGCAUAAAAUACAAAAGACCU